CACACACAUUGACUAGAAUUGAAACGUAUUGGCUCCGCUGCCGUGCCGGAGCGCAGACGCAACCCACACGCAUCUGGUGGAAUUUGGGGAUUCCAGAGGGUCUGGGAGUUUGGCUUGGGACAAUUUUGGCACCGUCUGUUCCUGAGGAGACAGUUGGGUGCUGCUGUGGCAGGAGAGAGGGAGAGAGAGAGAUGGAGAGAAGCUAUCAUUUCCUAUUAAAGUGAUGCAGAUGACGCACAAAGAGGGGAGGAUACAGAGGAGGUGAGGAAUGAAUAAAUGCUACCUAGAUGAAGAGAGAAUAGGACAAGACACUGAAGAUUAAGUGAAAGAAGACUGGAUGCCAAGAGAAAGGACUAAAAAACAAAAGCAAAAAACAGAUUAUGGAAUUAAGAAUAAGCUAUGUAGGAGAAUGGAAGGAUCGAGAAGACCUAAAAAAUGCAGAAAGGCAGAUGGAUGGGAUUUCCUUUCAUGGUUCUGGAUUAUAGAGUAUUAGGAAAUGGGACCCCAUUUGUACCUGGAAUUAACAUGUGAUCUGCAUUUGGAUAAUGACAUGUCAUCAUGGGGCUUUUGCAUUACGAAUAAGAGUUUUUGUUGUCUUAAUUCUGCUUCUAUUGUGAUCAGAUCUCUAUAUGCAAAUAAGACAGAGCUGGCAGAACAACAGACACGGUGUGUCACCGGUCAAGAGCCAUGCAGGAUACUCCUGUAAGACCACAAGGACAUGUAGGUCAAAGGUCAGCACUGUCAACUGUCAACUUCUUACUUUUAUUUGCCAAGGAAGGCCUCAUCUGUAGCUUUUAUCUGAGGCAUUAACAAUCCCAAAACAGUGUGCACCAUUUUGCUACGGCUUCUAGGUUGAAUGACAUGUUCCUCUGAAACGUUGUGAAAUUGUGUCCAACAGGCUUUGAUGUACGUCUUCAAAUAUUAUAUUUUAAGUAGUGAUUCCACACUAUAAAAAUAUGAAAAUACUUGCUUUCAUGUCUUACAUAAGUGCAGUUAUG